rnacentral:rRNA from 1 species
AUGAACGCUAGCGGCAGGCUUAAUACAUGCAAGUUGAGGGGCAGCAUGAUAUACGCGAGUAUAUUGAUGGCGACCGGCGGACGGGUGAGUAAUAGGUAGGAGACCUACCUCAUACAGGGGGAUAGCAUAGAGAAAUCUGUGGUAAUACCCCAUGAGGUUAUAUGAAUAGAGGCAUAUAAUCAAAGCAUAAGCGAUUAUGCGGUAUGAGAGGGGCCUACUGACCAUUAGCUAGUUGGUGAGGUAAGGGCUCACCAAGGCGAAGAUGGUUAGGGGUUUGUAGAGAGAGACCCCCACCAUUGGAACUGAGAGACGGUCCAGACUCCUACGGGAGGCAGCAGUAGGGAAUAUUGGGCAAUGGGCGAAAGCCUGACCCAGCCAUGCCGCGUGAAGGAAGACGGCCUUAUGGGUUGUAAACUUCUUUACUACGCGAAUAGAGGUUAGUACGAGAUACUAAUAGGAAGGUAGUGUAGUAAAAAGCACCGGCUAACUCCGUG